rnacentral:rRNA from 1 species
CCUACGGGAGGCAGCAGUGGGGAAUAUUGCACAAUGGGCGCAAGCCUGAUGCAGCCAUGCCGCGUGUGUGAAGAAGGCCUUCGGGUUGUAAAGCACUUUCAGCGGGGAGGAAGGCGGUGAGGUUAAUAACCUCAUCGAUUGACGUUACCCGCAGAAGAAGCACCGGCUAACUCCGUGCCAGCAGCCGCGGUAAUACGGAGGGUGCAAGCGUUAAUCAGAAUUACUGGGCGUAAAGCGCACGCAGGCGGUCUGUCAAGUCGGAUGUGAAAUCCCCGGGCUCAACCUGGGAACUGCAUUCGAAACUGGCAGGCUAGAGUCUUGUAGAGGGGGGUAGAAUUCCAGGUGUAGCGGUGAAAUGCGUAGAGAUUUGGAGGAAUACCGGUGGCGAAGGCGGCCCCCUGGACAAAGACUGACGCUCAGGUGCGAAAGCGUGGGGAGCAAACAGGAUUAGAUACCCCUGUAGUC